rnacentral:tRNA from 1 species
CAGGCAGUAGCUCAACGGUAGAGCUCCGGCUUCAUGUACGGGAAGAUCUGGGUUCGAUUCCCGGCUGCUUAC